CGGAAGGCAGCUGAGUUUCUUGAUGAAGCCCUGCUGACCUAUAGAGGGAAAGUCCUGGUCAGCAGUGAGAUGGGUAUCAGCAGGUCAGCAGUGCUGGUGGUCGCCUACCUGAUGAUCUUCCACAACAUGGCCAUCCUGGAAGCCUUGAUGACUGUCCGCCGAAAGCGGGCUAUCUACCCCAACGACGGCUUCCUCAAACAGCUGCGGGAGCUCAACGAGAAACUGAUGGAGGAGAGGGAAGAAGAGGAUGAUGAAGAGGAGCCUGAGGAGGAUGCCGGGAGCACACUGGGUGCUAGAGUAAAUUCCUUGAUGGUGGAAGAAGAAGAUGAUGCCACCAGCCACCUGAGUGGCUCCUCCUUGGGGAAGGCCAGCCAGGUCUCCCAGCCAGUCACCCUCAUUGAUGAAGAGGAGGAAGAGAGGCUGUAUGAGGAGUGGAGGAAGGGGCAGGGCUUCCCCAAGGCUGAGGCUUCUCAGGGUAGAAAGGGUAGCUGUUCUGCGUCCUCCGAGCAAGACGGGGACGACUGUGAGGAUGGGGCUGUGGAGAGGAUAAUCCAGGAGUGGCAGAGCCGAAAUGAGAGGUACCAAGCCAAAGGGCACAAGCAGUGGAAUCGGGAGGAAGACGAGGAGGAAGAGAACUCCUACACCAGCAGA
rnacentral:lncRNA from 1 species